rnacentral:rRNA from 1 species
UACGUAGGGGGCAAGCGUUAUCCGGAUUUACUGGGUGUAAAGGGCGUGCAGCCGGAGAGACAAGUCAGAUGUGAAAUCCACAGGCUCAACCUGUGAACUGCAUUUGAAACUGUUUCCCUUGAGUAUCGGAGAGGUCAUCGGAAUUCCUAGUGUAGCGGUGAAAUGCGUAGAUAUACGGAGGAACACCAGUGGCGAAGGCGGAUUGCUGGACAGUAACUGACGCUGAGGCACGAAGGCCAGGGGAGCGAAAGGG